rnacentral:rRNA from 1 species
GAUGAACGCUGGCGGCGUGCCUAACACAUGCAAGUCGAGCGAACAGACGAGGAGUUGGCGCCCCUGACGUUAGCGGCGGACGGGUGAGUAACACGUGGAUAACCUACCUAUAAGACUGGGAUAAUUUCGGGAAAUCGGAGCUACUACCGGAUAAUAUAUUGAACCGCAUGGUGCAAUAGUGAAAGACGGUUUUGCUGUCACUUAUAGACGGAUCCGCGCCGCAUUAGCUAGUUGGUAAGGUAACGGCUUACCAAGGCGACGAUGCGUAGCCGACCUGAGAGGAUGAUCAGCCACACUGGAACUGAGACACGGUCCAGACUCCUACGGGAGGCAGCAGUGGGGAAUCUUCCGCAAUGGGCGAAAGCUUGAUGGAGCAAAGCCGCGUGAGUGAUGAAGGUCUUCGGCUCGUAAAGCUCUGUUGUUAGGAAAGAACAAAAGUGUAUGUAACUAUGCACGUCUUGACGGUACCCAAACAAUAAGCCACGGCUAACUACGUG